rnacentral:lncRNA from 1 species
GAGGAAAUAGCGUAUAAAGCAAAACAACAGUAGGGGAAUAGGUAUCCUCUAGUCUUCUCUCCUAGAAAGAUGAUCUUUGUGAUGUGAGGUAUACCUAGUCCUAAUAUCUACGGGUCUUAGUCCCAAUACUUACAAGUUUAAUUUUUUUUGUAUUUGUAAGAUACAUCUGGAGAAUGUUGAACGUGUAAAUAAUUUGGUGGUAGGGGGGUACAGGGAAUUAAGCUCAGGGGCUUGCAACCACUGAUCCACAUCCCCAGCCCUAUUUUGUAUUUUAUUUAGAGACAGGGUCUCAAUGACUUGCUUAGUGCCUCACUUUUGCUGAGGCUGGCUUUAAAUUCUCCAUCCUCCUGCCUCAGCCUCUUGAGCUGAGCUGUGUGCGUGGUAAAUAAUUUAAAAAAAAUUUUUUUUCUUUUGUAGUUGUAGAUUGGCUGAAUGCCUUUAUUUUGUUUAUUUUUAUGUGGUGCUGAGGAUUGAACCCAGUGCCUCACGCAUGCUAGCUAAGUGCUCUGUCAUUGAGCUACAGCCCCAGUCUGGUAAAUAAUUUGUUGUCUGGAUUAAAAAAAAAAAAUUUAACAUUUAAGAGGCCGGCUGAAUUGGAAGGAGAGAAUUUCUUUCUUAGCCACAGUUUCUCCUUGGAUAACUAAAGGUUUCUUUUUCUGGUUAUUUUUUUGAACUUUUAAAACAUAAUGUAAAUAGGUAAGAAUCGCUGGUUUUAGUCUUUUUCAUCCAUGUAGUUGGUUGCGUCAUCUGGCAGGUAUGGUGCAUUGAAUGCAGACUUCUCUUUGGGCUAGGUCUAGACUCAAAUAGAAUAAAAUUUGUUCUCUUUCAACAAUAUCUAGCAUGUAUUGGGUAUGCAGUGCCAUUGUAAAAUUUCAUUAAUUUGGAUUGGCUAAUAUAAAUUCAUCUGAAGUGGACUUUGGGUUCACACUGAAUCAAUGGGGGGUGGUGGUGGUGCUUGUUUGUAGGACAGAUUGGCAGGUUUACAUCCUGCCUGUUGCAAUAGUAUCAUGGAUUAGGAUUAGCAGUUCUUUCUUAGACAAGUUCCUUUUGCAUACUCCAGGAACAGUUUGCUUUCUAUCUAUUUAAUAUUUAUUGGGUAUUGGAAAUCGAACCCAGGGAUUCUACCACUCAGCUAUGUCCCCAGUCCCUUAAAAAAAAAUUUUUUUUUUUUUUUUUGAGACAAUGGUCUCCCUGAGUUAACUGAUGCUAGCCUUGAACUUGGGCUCUUCCUUUCUCAGACUCCCUUUUGCAGGGGGAUUACAGGUGUGUGCUGUGUGUCAUUUUGCCUGGCCGGAUUGCUAUCCUUAUUUCUGUUUCUAGGCUGUCAGGAGCUUAUUCUUGGAGUUCAUUGUUGAUCUAGUUCAGCGUUUUAGCUGCACGUAAUUAUAUCUUGUAGAAGCACCAUCACCUUAACCCGUUUUGCUGGUAUGUAGCUCAGUGGUAGACAGCUUGUGUGAGAAAGGCCCUGUUUUUUUCUUUCUUUUCCUUUUUCCUUUUUUGGUGCUGGGGAUUAAUUUAGGGCCUUGUGCAUGCCUGGCAAGCACUCUACCUGCUGAGCCCAAGGCCCUGGUUUUGAUUUCUAACACUUCAAAAAAAUAACACAAAAUUUAGGUCCCCUGUGGUACCCCCCACCCCCAAGCAGUAGUAGCAGGGUGUCUGGCAUCUGGUGGGAAUGCAUCAUCUGUGUGAAGAGUGUGUGUUGGAGUACAUGCCUGUAAUCUCAGUGGCCGAGGAGGCUGAGACAGGAGGAGUUCAAAGUCAGCUUCAGCAAAAAAAAAAAAAAACCAGGUGCUAAGCAACUCAGUGAGACCCUGUCUCUAAAUAAAAUAUAAAACAGGGAUGGGGAUGUGGCUCAGUGGCCAAGUGCACCUGAGUUCAAUUCCCGGUACCAAAUAAAAGAGUGAAUGUUG